rnacentral:rRNA from 1 species
UACAGAGGGGGCAAGCGUUAUUCGGAAUUAUUGGGCGUAAAGGGCGCGUAGGCGGCUGUACAAGUCAAAGGUGAAAUCCCUCGGCUCAACUGAGGAACUGCCUUUGAAACUGUACGGCUUGAGGCCGGGAGGGGGUAGCGGAAUUCCCAAUGUAGCGGUGAAAUGCGUAGAUAUUGGGAGGAACACCAGUGGCGAAGGCGGCUACCUGGACCGGUUCUGACGCUGAGGCGCGAAAGCGUGGGUAGCAAACAGG